rnacentral:lncRNA from 1 species
GCCUUUUAGUCGUAGUCUAAUUUUAUUUUUUUGAUGCUUCAUUUGCUUCAUACUCCUCUUCCAUCUUCAUCUCCAACUUCUUCCUCUACUCCAAUUCCAUCUCCAUCUUCUCUUUCUCCUUUUGUCUACUUAGAAUUAAUAAUUUUUGUUUCUUUUUCCUCUUUUGCCGCUUCAUCAUAUCAUCCAUUCACUGGGCACUUGCAUUUUUUUUCGACAUCUUAUUUUUUGUUCUUCUCCGUUUCCACUUCUUAUUCCUCUUUUUCGUCUGUGUUUCCACUUCUUAUUAAUUUUCUUGUAAUACAAUAUGUUUUUUUUUGUAGGUACUCUUUAUGUAUAUAUUUUGUUCUUCUCUUUUGUUUCUUAGCUUUUUUUACGGGUUUGUUGUUGUUCAUUUUGAUAAUUUCUAUUACAAAAUAAAAAUCAAAAAGCCAGUGGCAUGGAUUGGAAUGGGCGGAUGGGGGAAUAAGGGUUUGGCUGGGUGGCUCUUUUUAUACCCGUUACUCGAAGAGCAAAAGGGGUAUAUUAGGGCGUCUGGAUCUCAGAGACUACAGCAACCAUAUUUUGCAUUCAGAGCUGACAUAUGUACCACACAGUAACAAGUGAAGAUUUGAAGAUACGAUAAAACGAAAGACGCAGUUCUGUAGAGAUUGGCCAUAUUUAUCAGAAUCCCGAAUUAGGGACAGAUUGAAUUAUUGGUAGAGCUUUCUCAUUCUGCCUCGUGUAGAGUGGUGGAGGGGAGCGAGUUAAAUAUUGGUGUUGGUUUGAGAAGUAAUAUGGAUGGAUAUGGAAAAAAUUUGAAAAAUUCGUAAGCUUACACACUGAUGUAUAUUACGUACAUUCUAACUGAGUAUCCGGUAUUUAAGUUUUGAAGCGCACGGAAGCGUCUCACAACGUUCCUCAUCGCUUGUUUUAAUUUGGCAAAUGAUUUGGCAGGUGGGUGACCGACCCGACCUGCUCACUGCCACUCUACCUCACUCACCUCACUCUUUUCUCUCUCGUGGCCCCACCUCUCUAUCACUGUGUGUGUGUGUGUUUUUUUUUGUGUGCUCUUGUGUGGGUGUAGGGGUGUGUUCAUUGGAAGCAUCUUUAUCGAAAUAACAUUGUAAUUGCUUUUUGAUAAAUGAAGCACGCGCUGCACAACUGACAGCCAAAAAAAGCAACUAAAACAAACAGCAAGAGAUGUGAAAGAGGAGGGAGUGCUAAGUGUUAGCGAGAAGGGGGAAAAAAAUAAACGAAAACAAUCUUAUAAGUAUGCCAGCCGCCCCCUAAGAGCACGAUAAACGUUCCAGGGAUUACCCUAGAGUUUAGCAAAAAUAUAAAUAAAUCGCGAUUGGAUAUUGGAAGACAUCGACUCCGAGAAUACCUGGAGCAAACACACUGUAAGACACGAUUGGAAAGAAGUAAAAUAUAGCUUGGAAUGGACCUUGGUGGGCUGGAAAGGCUUUGAUAGAAUGUGCGGUUUCGGGAAUCGACUUCAAACUGAACCACAGCUUCGAAGGUCCAAAGAGCCAAAGGCCCUAUAAUUCGUAUUCAUUCAUUAUAGGGUAUUGAAGGUGUUUAUCCGCUUUGAUUUGAUUUUUUGUUUUUUUUUGUCCGUCGUAAAUGCCCUUGUCCCAUCAUGGUAUUGGGGUUAUAAAAGAAAAAUCGCUUGGACAUAUCACUCAAGAGAUGGCAAUGCACCAAUCCCAUCCCUCUAAUUACCAUUCUCCACUACAACCACCACGCACCCUCCUCCUCAUCGCAUCUGGAUGGUGCAGCAAAUAGAGGGGAGGGCGAUAGAGGGUACCACGCACUCGCUGGGAAGACAAUUUAAAAUGUUGAAAAAUGCUCAGCUAAUUGGCAGUUGACAGAGUCGAGAGCCUGGGAUUGGCUUGCCCCACAAAGCCCAAGAGGACAGGGUGGGAGAGCAGUGGGACACUGCGAGAGUGCCACGGAUAGGAUGGGGCACGACGGGUGAUGGAAUGGGUGAUGGUUGUAGGGGCAUAUAAAUUUAAUUUGGUUUAUAAAAAGUGCUUGAGAAUGUGGAAUGGGGUGACGGAGAACAUGGUCCACCAACGAGCGCUGAAGCGGCCUGAAGUGGCCGAGGCGAACAACAGCUGAAGGGGGUAGGGGGGUCGGUGUGUGUGUGGGAUGGAUUGAUGGUUGGAUGAAUGCUGCUGCUGCAGGGGCAAGUAGCAAGAGGUGGAACGGGUGCAGAUUGAAACCGGGUCUAAUGGCAGCCAAGUGGCCGCCAAAUCCAUCUGAGAUGGACUCGUACCCCGUUUGACCCAAC